rnacentral:rRNA from 1 species
UACGUAGGGUGCAAGCGUUGUCCGGAAUUAUUGGGCGUAAAGAGCUCGUAGGCGGUCUGUUGCGUCGGCUGUGAAAACCCGGGGCUCAACUCCGGGCCUGCAGCCGAUACGGGGCAGACUAGAGUUCGGCAGGGGAGACUGGAAUUCCUGGUGUAGCGGUGAAAUGCGCAGAUAUCAGGAGGAACACCGGUGGCGAAGGCGGGUCUCUGGGCCGAUACUGACGCUGAGGAGCGAAAGCGUGGGGAGCGAACAGG